GUGCUCUCUGCAGUAGCACAUAUACUAAAAAUUGGAACAAUGCAGGAAAAUUUAGCCUGGCCUCAUGCAAGGAUGGCAUGCAAAUCUAUGAAGUGUUCCAUGUGUUU
ensembl:snRNA U6 U6 spliceosomal RNA